CGGAACGGGUGAGUAACGCGUGAGGAACCUGCCUCAAAGAGGGGGACAACAGUUGGAAACGACUGCUAAUACCGCAUAAGCCCACGGCUCGGCAUCGAGCAGAGGGAAAAGGAGCAAUCCGCUUUGAGAUGGCCUCGCGUCCGAUUAGCUAGUUGGUGAGGUAACGCCCACCAAGGCGACGAUCGGUAGCCGGACUGAGAGGUUGAACGGCCACAUUGGGACUGAGACACGGCCCAG
rnacentral:rRNA from 1 species